rnacentral:rRNA from 1 species
CCUACGGGGGGCAGCAGUGAGGAAUAUUGGUCAAUGGGCUUACGCCUGAACCAGCCAAGUCGCGUGAGGGAAGACUGCCCUAUGGGUUGUAAACCUCUUUUGUCAGGGAGCAAUUGGCGCUACGUGUAGCGUUAUCGAGAGUACCUGAAGAAAAAGCAUCGGCUAACUCCGUGCCAGCAGCCGCGGUAAUACGGAGGAUGCGAGCGUUAUCCGGAUUUAUUGGGUUUAAAGGGAGCGUAGGUGGAUUGUUAAGUCAGUUGUGAAAGUUUGCGGCUCAACCGUAAAAUUGCAGUUGAAACUGGCAGUCUUGAGUACAGUAGAGGUGGGCGGAAUUCGUGGUGUAGCGGUGAAAUGCUUAGAUAUCACGAAGAACUCCGAUUGCGAAGGCAGCUUACUAAGCCAUAACUGACACUGAAGCACGAAAGCGUGGGGAUCAAACAGGAUUAGAUACCCGGGUAGUC